rnacentral:rRNA from 2 species
GAUGAACGCUGGCGGCGUGCCUAAUACAUGCAAGUCGAACGAAACUUCUUUAUCACCGAGUGCUUGCACUCACCGAUAAAGAGUUGAGUGGCGAACGGGUGAGUAACACGUGGGCAACCUGCCCAAAAGAGGGGGAUAACACUUGGAAACAGGUGCUAAUACCGCAUAACCAUAGUUACCGCAUGGUAACUAUGUAAAAGGUGGCUAUGCUACCGCUUUUGGAUGGGCCCGCGGCGCAUUAGCUAGUUGGUGGGGUAAAGGCUUACCAAGGCAAUGAUGCGUAGCCGAACUGAGAGGUUGAUCGGCCACAUUGGGACUGAGACACGGCCCAAACUCCUACGGGAGGCAGCAGUAGGGAAUCUUCCACAAUGGGCGAAAGCCUGAUGGAGCAACACCGCGUGGGUGAAGAAGGUCUUCGGAUCGUAAAACCCUGUUGUUAGAGAAGAAAGUGCGUGAGAGUAACUGUUCACGUUUCGACGGUAUCUAACCAGAAAACCACGGCUAACUACGUUCCAGCAACCGCGGUAAUACGUAAGUGGCAAGCGUUAUCCGGAUUUAUUGGGCAUAAAGGGAACGCAGGCGGUCUUUUAAGUCUGAUGUCAAAGCCUUCGGCUUAACCGGAGUAGUGCAUUGGAAACUGGGAGACUUGAGUGCAGAAGAGGAGAGUGGAACUCCAUGUGUAGCGGUGAAAUGCGUAGAUAUAUGGAAGAACACCAGUGGCGAAAGCGGCUCUCUGGUCUGUAACUGACGCUGAGGUUCGAAAGCGUGGGUAGCAAACAGGAUUAGAUACCCUGGUAGUCCACGCCGUAAACGAUGAAUGCUAAGUGUUGGAGGGUUUCCGCCCUUCAGUGCUGCACCUAACGCAAUAGGCAUUCCGCCGGGGGAGUACGACCGCAAGGUUGAAACUCAAAGGAAUUGACGGGGGCCCGACCAAGCGUUGAACCAUGUGGUUUAUUUCGAAGCACCGCGAAGAACCUUACUAGGCCUGGACUUCUUUUGACAGUCCUAGAGAUAGGACUUUCCUUCCGGACACAUAAUGACAGGUGGUGCAUGCUUGUCGUCAGCUCGUGUCGUGAGAUGUUGGAUUAAGUCCCGCACGAAGCGCCACCCUUAUUGUUAGUUGCCAGCAUCAAGGUCGGCACUCUAGCAAGACUGCCAGUGAUAAACCUGAGGAUGGUGGGGAUGACGUCAAGUCAUCAUGCCCCUGAUGACCUUGGCUACACACGUGCUACAAUGGACGGUACAACGAGUCGCGAGACCGCGAGGAUUAGCAAAUCUCUUAAAGCCGUUCUCAGUUCGGAAUGUAGUCUGCAACUCGACUACAUGAAGUCGGAAUCGCUAGUAAUCGCGGAUCAGCAUGCCGCCGUUAAUACGUUCCCGGGCCGUGUACACAACGCCCGUCACACCAUGAGAUUUUGAAACACCCAAAGCCGGUGGGGUAACCUUUUGGAGCCAGCCGUCUAAGGUGGGACAGAUGAUUGGGGUGAAG